UUACUCACAAUAGCCAAAUGGUGGAAACAAACCAAGUGUCCGCUGACAGCUGAAUGGAUAAACAAGAUGUGGUAUAUACACACAAUAGGCCAAAAGGGAAAUCAUGAAGGGAAGGAUAAAGCUUUUUACUCCCAAGUUAAAAUCACACUACAGAAAUCCAUCCUUCAGACUUUUAUGAUCAGUUGCUAAAAAGUCCAAGACAUUUGAGCCUACUCCAAAGUGCAUUUCUUGCAGGAUAUUUUGAGGGAAUUCAUUUUGUAAUGAUGCGGUGAACACAGAGCCCAGCCCGGUCUGUCUCUGAAUAUUGUACAUAGCACAGCAACACACAAAUAGAAAAUUAGCGCGAGAGGCUGAGGCAGAAGAAUCACUUGAACCUGGGAGGCGGAGGUGGCAGUGAGCCGAGAUAGCCCCACUGCACUCCAGCCUGGGCAGCAGAGUGAGACUCUGCCUCAAAAACAAACAAAAAUAGAAUAUGGGGCUAAGCAUGGUGGCUCAUGCCUAUAAUCCCAGCACUUUGGGAGGCUAAAGUGAGAGGAUUGCUUGAGGCCAGGAUUUCAAGACCAACCUGGGCAAGAUAGGGAGACUCCAUCUCCACAAAAAGAAUUAAAACAAUUAUCCAGGCAUGGCACACGAGCUCUCUAUUUCAUAAGGCGCUCUAGCACGGAACAAGCUCAGUGUUUGGAAGGUCUGUUUUUAUAUAACAAGGUGAGUAAGAUAACCCUGGUCUCUUAUCUUUAAGACAGACUUUGAGGGGUUUUCCAAGGAGUAAGCAGUGGCCAACAGCGCUGAGUCGUCCCUUUGUCUGGCUGACUUCUCUCGUUAUCAGUUGCAAACAUCUCAUGGAGUUAAGGCAUUAAAAAGACUGAGAAAUAAUCUACAUAUCCAGUGUGUUUGGAAAACAUAUACUGUUGUAGUAGGUGAGAGGAGAGAAGGAGCCCAGGGCCAGCAGAGUCGUAGCCAUUUUGCCAGGAAGUAGCUUUAAGGGUUUCUGGACUGUUAGGCGAGUAGCUGGCCUGAAACCAGAUCUCAGCGUGCAGGGGCUGCUUCCGAAUGGAGUCUUUGCUGGUUGCUAUGUGUACACACAUGCCAUGGUUCAAGGAGAUACCCACUCCCUCCUGGCUCACUGUCCACCAACUGUGCUCACGCUUGGGAUCCCAAGGUUCCAGCUCUUUAGCUCACACUCCUGCAAAGCCACAGUUAUGACACACACUUCAUGUGCCAGCCCCACUUACAGGCCAUGCCCCUAUUAUCAUGCAAAUAAAAAUACAGGAUAUGCAGCAAAUUUCAAAGACUCCAUUCUAUUGCUCAGCUAUAGUGCCAACCUCUCUGGGCAUGGCUGGGGAGCCACUG
rnacentral:lncRNA from 1 species